rnacentral:rRNA from 1 species
AACGAACGCUGGCGGCAGGCCUAACACAUGCAAGUCGAACGCCGUAGCAAUACGGAGUGGCAGACGGGUGAGUAACGCGUGGGAACAUACCCCUCGGUUCGGAAUAACUCAGGGAAACUUGAGCUAAUACCGGAUACGUCCGAGGUUUUAAUCGGCCUUGGAGAAAGAUUUAUCGCCGGAGGAUUGGCCCGCGUCUGAUUAGCUUGUUGGUGAGGUAAUGGCUCACCAAGGCGACGANCAGUAGCUGGUCUGAGAGGAUGAUCAGCCACAUUGGGACUGAGACACGGCCCAAACUCCUACGGGAGGCAGCAGUGGGGAAUAUUGGACAAUGGGCGAAAGCCUGAUCCAGCCAUGCCGCGUGAGUGAUGAAGGCCUUAGGGUUGUAAAGCUCUUUACCCGGGAAGAUAAUGACGGUACCGGGAGAAUAAGCCCCGGCUAACUUCGUGCCAGCAGCCGCCGCAGUAAC